GUGGGGAAUUUUGGACAAUGGGCGCAAGCCUGAUCCAGCAAUGCCGCGUGCAGGAAGAAGGCCUUCGGGUUGUAAACUGCUUUUGUACGGAACGAAAAGGCUCUGGUUAAUACCUGGGGCUCAUGACGGUACCGUAAGAAUAAGCACCGGCUAACUACGUGCCAGCAGCCGCGGUAAUACGUAGGGUGCAAGCGUUAAUCGGAAUUACUGGGCGUAAAGCGUGCGCAGGCGGUUUUGUAAGACAGACGUGAAAUCCCCGGGCUCAACCUGGGAAUGGCGUUUGUGACUGCAAAGCUGGAGUGCGGCAGAGGGGGAUGGAAUUCCGCGUGUAGCAGUGAAAUGCGUAGAUAUGCGGAGGAACACCGAUGGCGAAGGCAAUCCCCUGGGCCUGCACUGACGCUCAUGCACGAAAGCGUGGGGAGCAAACAGGAUUAGAUACCCUUGUAGUCC
rnacentral:rRNA from 1 species